AAGUAAAAAUUUUGUUUUUAUUAAUUGAGGAGAUUUUGAAAAUCUCUUCCGGCAAAAAUUUUU
rnacentral:tRNA from 1 species